rnacentral:sRNA from 1 species
CAAACUCUUAUAAUUAGUCAAAUGCAUUGGAUUGUGACACAUUUUGACUAUAGAAACACUAACAAAUCUAUUGACUGCUUCUAAGCAAGUAUUGUUGGUUUUAGACUCUUUUGGGAGAAAAUGGGUAUUAGUGUUGUCUAAAAACUUCUAAUCCAUCUCUAACUCUUAUAAUUAGUCAAUUGCAUUGGAUUGUGACACAUAUUGACCAUAAAAAUUCUAACAAAGCUAUUUACUUCUUCUAAGCAAUGUUUUGUUGGUUUUAGCUUCUUUUAAAAGAUAAUGGAUAUAAGUGUUGUCUAAACACUCCUAAUCCAUCUCUAACUCUUAUAAUUACUCAAAUGCAUUAGAUUGUGAUAGAUUUUGA